rnacentral:rRNA from 1 species
ACUCCUACGGGAGGCAGCAGUGGGGGAAUCUUGGACAAUGGGCGGCAAGCCUGAUCCAGCCAUGCCGCGUGAGUGAUGAAGGCCUUAGGGUCGUAAAGCUCUUUCGCCAGGGAUGAUAAUGACAGUACCUGGUAAAGAAACCCCGGCUAACUCCGUGCCAGCAGCCGCGGUAAUACGGAGGGGGUUUAGCGUUGUUCGGAAUUUACUGGGGCGUAAAGCGCGCGUAGGCGGGGUUGUUAAGUUUAGAGGUGAAAUCCCGGGGGCUCAACCCCGGAACUGCCUUUAAUACUGGCAACCUAGAGUUCGAGAGAGGUGAGUGGAAUUCCGAGUGUAGAGGUGAAAUUCGUAGAUAUUCGGAGGAACACCAGUGGCGAAGGCGGCUCACUGGCUCGAUACUGACGCUGAGGUGCGAAAGUGUGGGGAGCAAACAGGAUUAGAUACCCUGGUAGGAUA